GACGAAAGUCUGACGGAGCAACGCCGCGUGAGUGAUGAAGGUUUUCGGAUCGUAAAACUCUGUUGUUAGGGAAGAACAAGUACCGUUCGAAUAGGGCGGUACCUUGACGGUACCUAACCAGAAAGCCACGGCUAACUACGUGCCAGCAGCCGCGGUAAUACGUAGGUGGCAAGCGUUGUCCGGAAUCAUUGGGCGUAAAGCGCGCGCAGGUGGUUCUUUAAGUCUGAUGUGAAAGCCCCCGGCUCAACCGGGGAGGGUCAUUGGAAACUGGGGAACUUGAGUGCAGAAGAGGAAAGUGGAAUUCCACGUGUAGCGGUGAAAUGCGUAGAGAUGUGGAGGAACACCAGUGGCGAAGGCGACUUUCUGGUCUGUAACUGACACUGAGGCGCGAAAGCGUGGGGAGCGAACAGGAUUAGAUACCCUGGUAGUCCACGCCGUAAACGAUGAGUGCUAAGUGUUAGGGGGUUUCCGCCCCUUAGUGCUGCAGCAAACGCAUUAAGCACUCCGCCUGGGGAGUAC
rnacentral:rRNA from 1 species